ACAAACAUUCAGUGGCGAACGGGUGAGUAACGCGUGGAUGAUCUACCUAUGAGAUGGGGAUAACUAUUAGAAAUAGUAGCUAAUACCGAAUAAGGUCAAUUAAUUUGUUAAUUGAUGAAAGGAAGCCUUUAAAGCUUCGCUUGUAGAUGAGUCUGCGUCUUAUUAGCUAGUUGGUAGGGUAAAUGCCUACCAAGGCGAUGAUAAGUAACCGGCCUGAGAGGGUGAACGGUCACACUGGAACUGAGAUACGGCCCAGACUCCUACGGGAGGCAGCAGCUAAGAAUCUUCCGCAAUGGGCGAAAGCCUGACGGAGCGACACUGCGUGAAUGAAGAAGGUCGAAAGAUUGUAAAAUUCUUUUAUAAAUGAGGAAUAAGCUUUGCAGGAAAUGGUAAAGUGAUGACGUUAAUUUAUGAAUAAGCCCCGGCUAAUUACGUGCCAGCAGCCGCGGUAAUACGUAAGGGGCGAGCGUUGUUCGGGAUUAUUGGGCGUAAAGGCUGAGUAGGCGGAUAUAUAAGUCUAUGCGUAAAAUACCACAGCUCAACUGUGGAACUAUGUUGGCAACUGUAUGUCUAGAGUCUGAUAGAGGAAGCUAGAAUCCCUGGUGUAAGGGUGGAAUCUGUUGAUAUCAGGAAGAAUACCGGAGGCGAAGGCGAACUUCUGGGUCAAGACUGACGCAGAGUCCCGAAAGCGUAGGGAGCAAACAGGAUAAGAUACCCUGGUAGUCUACGCUGUAAACGAUGCACACUUGGUGUUAACUAAAAGUUAGUACCGAAG
rnacentral:rRNA from 1 species